AGCGUGUGGUUAAUUCGAUGCUACACGAAGAACCUUACCAGGGUUUGACAUGCAAGUGGUAGGAAUCUGAAAAGGGACCGACCUUCGGGAGCUUGCACAGGUGCUGCAUGGCUGUCGUCAGCUCGUGUCGUGAGAUGUUCGGUUAAGUCCGCUAACGAGCGCAACCCUCACUGUGUGUUAUAUGUGUCACACGGGACUGCCGGUUUUAAGCCGGAGGAAGGUGGGGAUGACGUCAAGUCAGCAUGGCCUUUAUAUCCUGGGCUACACACACGCUACAAUGGUCGGUACAAUAGGUUGCCAAGCCGCGAGGCGGAGCCAGUCCACAAAGCCGGCCUCAGUUCAGAUUGUAGGCUGCAACUCGCCUGCAUGAAGAUGGAGUUGCUAGUAACCGCAGGUCAGCAAUACUGCGGUGAAUACGUUCCCGGGUCUU
rnacentral:rRNA from 1 species